UGGAAGAUGGGUGCACCAGAAGCGCCCGGGUUUUAUUCUCGAGAGCAAUUUCGAGAGUAGAAUCCGGGCACUAAGGUGAAACCAUUGACUGGGUCG
rnacentral:rRNA from 1 species